rnacentral:lncRNA from 1 species
UACUAGUUUCAAUGAAAACAGGAUUAAAAAUAGGAUUCUAGCUGACAAUUUGUGAUAUGAAACAGCCAAGAAUCCUCAACCCAUUAUCACACAUUAUGCCUAGCUCCCUGCGUCCUGCCGGCGGGGAGGCGCCGAAGUGCCCGGAGGGAGCCCAGCGUGCCGGCGCGGAGCCCCCCGGCGGGAGGAUGCGCUGAGCCGCCCCAGAGGAGGGGGCGCUGCUCCCGCUCGGCCAGAUGGUAUUAUAAUGGAAUGGCAGCUGAGAAGAUGAGACUAUGAGUGAAGAGUGUGUCUUGGAGAUUGCAUGCAGUUCAUUUUCCUGGGUCAAAAGUGGAUUGGUUUGAGAACAAUAAUUAUGAGGCUGACGUGUAUGUUCUCCUUCAUCUUGCUGUUUGGAGCAGCGGGACUUGUCGUCUUCAUUCAUCUGCAGGAUCCAGAAGACAUAGUUCAUCAGCAGACACCAGACCCAAUGAAAAUAUUGGUAACCAGGAAAAUGCAUUCUAUAAUCAGACAUCCUCAGUAAGUAAUGGUAUCUUAAUUUCUCAAAAACAGAAAGCUUUCU